UACGGAGGGUGCAAGCGUUAUCCGGAUUUACUGGGUUUAAAGGGUGUGUAGGCGGGUCUAUAAGUCAGUGGUGAAAUCUCCGGGCUCAACCCGGAAACUGCCAUGGAUACUAUAGGUCUUGAAUAUUGUGGAGGUGGGCGGAAUGUGUCAUGUAGCGGUGAAAUGCUUAGAGAUGACACAGAACACCGAUUGCGAAGGCAGCCCACUACGCAACUAUUGACGCUGAGGCACGAAAGCGUGGGGAUCAAACAGG
rnacentral:rRNA from 1 species